GAGACAGGUUAGUUUUACCCUACUGAUGAGAUGUUGUCGCGACAGUAAUCCAACUUAGUACGAGAGGAACCGUUGGUUCAGACAAUUGGUAUAUGGGGUUAGCUGAACAGCUAGUGCCCCGAAGCUACCAUCUGUAGGAUUAUGACUGAACGCCUCUAAGUCAGAAUCCAUGCUGAAAAGCGACGAUAUUCACCUUUUUCGAUGUGGACUGUAUAUGAAUAAGCCUUCGGGCUCAGCAUCAUACGAUUGCGCACUCACUUCUGUUCUCGAUUUGAGCAGUUGUGGCGCUGAAACACAAUUUCGAACGUUGAAAGAGAUGAAUCCUUUGUAGACGACUUAAAUAUAGAACGGGGUUCUGUAAGCAUGAGAGUAGGCUUUGUCUUACGAUCUGCUGAGGAUCUGCCCUUCGUU
rnacentral:rRNA from 1 species